AGAUCGUGUUGUGGACAAUUCCUAAGCAUGCCUUUAUACCUCCCCCAUGCUUCAAAUAAAGACUCGCCAUCAUUAUGUUGGAAAUUUUCUAUCUUCUUCUUGAGAUU